rnacentral:rRNA from 1 species
GACGAACGCUGGCGGCGUGCCUAACACAUGCAAGUCGAGCGAAGCAUUUGAAGAAGCUUGCUUCUGAAAAUGACUGAGCGGCGGACGGGUGAGUAACGCGUGAGCAAUCUGGCCUUUACAGGGGAAUAACAGUUGGAAACGACUGCUAAUACCGCAUAAGACCCCGGUACCGCAUGGUACAGAGGUCAAAGAUUUUAUCGGUAAAGGAUGAGCUCGCGUCCCAUUAGCUAGUUGGUGGGGCAAUGGCCUACCAAGGCAACGAUGGGUAGCCGACCUGAGAGGGUGAUCGGCCACACUGGAACUGAGACACGGUCCAGACUCCUACGGGAGGCAGCAGUGGGGAAUAUUGGGCAAUGGGCGCAAGCCUGACCCAGCAACGCCGCGUGAAGGAAGAAGGUCUUCGGAUUGUAAACUUUUGUUGUCAGCGAAGAAAAUGACUGUAACUGACGAGAAAGCCCCGGCUAACUACGUGCCAGCAGCCGCGGUAACAC